rnacentral:lncRNA from 1 species
GUCUCCCCAUCUUCAUGAGAGAUAGUCAUGGAAUCUGACAGCACAGGCUUUGUCAAGAUUUUUCUUUCUAGGAUUCCUUCACCUAACCAGAACUGACUUCAUCAGAGAGUUAUGAUGGUUAACUCUAUCAGUCUUCUACCUGAAUGCCCCAAGAUAUUGAUGAAGUCAACAAAAACAUUGAGCCUCAGAACACAAGAAAUCUUGGACAAACUGGGAGACAGCUUGUCAGUAUCUAAGGUUGCCAUCUGGAGUUUUAAGUAAUUGUCUACUACUGAAGAAACAAGACCCAGCAGACCCUCAGAUGGAACUGAAGUCUCUGUCUUGUCCUGGAGAUGUCCCCCAUCUCCUCAUCCCCAUCAGCUGAGGAUUUCCAUUUGUUUACAUGGCCCUCCAGGAUCUCUCCUGCACUUCCCCAGACUUGAUCCUGAAGCCUCCAUUUCCCUCCCUAUAGUUCCUCUGCACACCCACCUCCCAUCUCUGGUAGACCCACAACUCCUCCAAACUUCAAAAAAGUGCUGACCUUCCAGGGACAUCAACCAAACAUGGCAUAACAGGGAAUGCAUCUGGAAAAGAGACUACCAGCAGAAGAGCAUAAAGGGGCGUGGAAGCCUAAACUGAACGAAGACCAAAGUGUGGACACUUUGCCCCUUCUUAGAAUUUGAAACAAUCACCCAUGGAAGGAGU